AGAGUUUGAUUCUGGCUCAGAACGUACGCUGGCGGCACGCCUAACACAUGCAAGUCGAACGAAGUAGCAAUACUUAGUGGCAGACGGGUGAGUAACAUGUAGGUAUCUGCCCUUUGGCCUGGAAUAACACGAGGAAACUUGUGCUAAUACCGGAUAAGUCUUUACGGAGAAAGCUUUAUGCACCAUUGGAUGAGCCUGCACUUGAUUAGUUUGUUGGUGGGGUAAUGGCCUACCAAGACUGUGAUCAAUAGCUGAUUUGAGAGGAUGAUCAGCCACAUUGGGACUGAGACACGGCCCAAACUCCUACGGGAGGCAGCAGUGGGGAAUCUUGCACAAUGGAGGAAACUCUGAUGCAGCGAUGCCGCGUGAGUGAAGAAGGCCCUUGGGUUGUAAAGCUCUUUCGUCGGGGAAGAAAAUGACUGUACCCGAAUAAGAAGGUCCGGCUAACUUCGUGCCAGCAGCCGCGGUAAUACGAAGGGACCUAGCGUAGUUCGGAAUUACUGGGCUUAAAGAGUUCGUAGGUGGUUGAAAUAGUUGGUGGUGAAAUCCCAGAGCUUAACUCUGGAACUGCCAUCAAAACUUUUCAGCUAGAGUAUGAUAGAGGAAAGCAGAAUUUCUAGUGUAGAGGUGAAAUUCGUAGAUAUUAGAAAGAAUACCAAUUGCGAAGGCAGCUUUCUGGAUCAUUACUGACACUGAGGAACGAAAGCAUGGGUAGCGAAGAGGAUUAGAUACCCUCGUAGUCCAUGCCGUAAACGAUGUGUGUUAGACGUUGGAAAUUUAUUUUCAGUGUCGCAGGGAAACCGAUAAACACACCGCCUGGGGAGUACGACCGCAAGGUUAAAACUCAAAUGAAUUGACGGGGACCCGCACAAGUAGUGGAGCAUGUGGUUUAAUUCGAAGAUACGCGCAGAACCUUACCAACACUUGACAUGUUCGUCGCGACUUUAAGAGAUUAAAGUUUUCGGUUCGGCCGGACGAAACACAGGUGCUGCAUGGCUGUCGUCAGCUCGUGUCGUGAGAUGUUGGGUUAAGUCCCGCAACGAGCGCAACCCUCACUUUUAGUUGCCAUCAUUAAGUUGGGCACUCUGAAAGAACUGCCAGUGAUAAGCUGGAGGAAGGUGGGGAUGACGUCAAGUCCUCAUGGCCCUUACGUGUUGGGCUACACACGUGCUACAAUGGUAUCUACAACAGGAAGCAAGACUGCGAAGUUAAGCAAAUCCUUAAAAGAUACCUCAGUUCGGAUUGCACUCUGCAACUCGAGUGCAUGAAGCUGGAAUUACUAGUAAUCGUGGAUCAGCGUGCCACGGUGAAUGCGUUCCCGGGUCUUGUACACACCGCCCGUCACACCAUGGGAGUUGGUUCUACCUUAAGGCAAGGUUUUAAACCCUUGACCACGGUAUAGUCAGCGACUGGGGUGAAGUCGUAACAAGGUA
rnacentral:rRNA from 1 species